rnacentral:rRNA from 1 species
UACGUAGGGUGCAAGCGUUGUCCGGAAUUAUUGGGCGUAAAGAGCUCGUAGGCGGUUUGUUGCGUCGGCUGUGAAAUCCCGAGGCUCAACCUCGGGUCUGCAGUCGAUACGAGCAAACUAGAGUGUUGCAGGGGAGACUGGAAUUCCUGGUGUAGCGGUGAAAUGCGUAGAUAUCUGGAGGAAUACCGGUGGCGAAGGCGGCAUCCUGGACCAUAACUGACGCUGAGGCGCGAAAGCUAGGGGAGCAAACGGG